rnacentral:rRNA from 1 species
GACGAACGCUGGCGGCGUGCUUAACACAUGCAAGUCGAACGGAAAGGCCCUGCUUUUGUGGGGUGCUCGAGUGGCGAACGGGUGAGUAACACGUGAGUAACCUGCCCUUGACUUUGGGAUAACUUCAGGAAACUGGGGCUAAUACCGGAUAGGAGCUCCUGCUGCAUGGUGGGGGUUGGAAAGUUUCGGCGGUUGGGGAUGGACUCGCGGCUUAUCAGCUUGUUGGUGGGGUAGUGGCUUACCAAGGCUUUGGCGGGUAGCCGGCCUGAGAGGGUGACCGGCCACAUUGGGACGGAGAUACGGCCCAGACUCCUACGGGAGGCAGCAGUGGGGAAUAUUGCACAAUGGGCGGAAGCCUGAUGCAGCAACGCCGCGUGCGGGAUGACGGCCUUCGGGUUGUAAACCGCUUUCGCCUGUGACGAAGCGUGAGUGACGGUAAUGGGUAAAGAAGCACCGGCUAACUACGUG